GAAAUGCGAUAAGUAAUGUGAAUUGCAGAAUUCAGUGAAUCAUCGAAUCUUUGAACGCACAUUGCGCCCGCCAGUAUUCUGGCGGGCAUGCCUGUUCGAGCGUCAUUACAACCCUCAGGCCCCCGGGCCUGGCGUUGGAGAUCGGCGGAAGCCCCCUGCGGGCACAACGCCGUCCCCCAAAUACAGUGGCGGUCCCGCCGCAGCUUCCAUUGCGUAGUAGCUAACACCUCGCAACUGGAGAGCGGCGCGGCCACGCCGUAAAACACCCAACUUCUGAAUGUUGACCUCGAAUCAGGUAGGAAUACCCGCUGAACUUAAGC
rnacentral:misc_RNA from 1 species